GCUGCUGUGGCGGAACAGGCAGACGCAAAGGACUUAAAAUCCUUCGGUAGUGAUACCAUACGGGUUCGAUUCCCGUCAGCAGCA
rnacentral:tRNA from 1 species